UGAACCAUUUGACUGGGGGAGAGGGAGAGGAGCGGGCUGACAAAUUGGAAGGCACACUCUCAGGCAAGUAAAUAUCAACUCUGAGUCCUCGGUUUGGGAGCCUAAGGAGAAAAGGAACCUCCCGGAUGCUUGGUCGGGAUGCCUGGAUCUUAAAAAUGUGUGAAAGCAUGUAAGUGGCACACUUCUACAACGUCACCGAAGCAAGAUAGAUUAAACAAAGGUGUCAGAGAAGUUUGGAAUAAGGAAUAUUUUAACGCAGCCUUGAAAGGAUUUCAUCGUUUGACGGUUGUUUAUUUAUGAGACGAUUAAACUGAAAGUACAUUUAAACCAGCCUCUAAAACACCGUAUGGCUUGCAGCUCCCCCUGCCACGGCAGAAUUCAACUCCACUGCAGAAGCGUUACGGGGAAAAGAUUUUCCUACAAAUAGGGUACUUUUUAAAACGUCACACACGGCAAAAUUCCGCGUGGUCUUUAUCUGGGACAUGACGCCUUUGGCACCAGCCGUCACUGUCCCUAAACAUCAGCGUCCUCUUCAAACGGUAACAUGCACGAGCAGAGAAUGGCUUUUGGUAAUGAACGAACGGCUUCCCCGAUCUGUCGCGUAAACAGCAGCUUGAUUGGAUCAUCUGGCCUUUAAUAACGAAGAACGGGAGCAGCACACACACCGGACCCAAUGUGUUGGCUCUGCAGCCGGAUCAGAAAACUCUCCCCCGGCCUCAACAGCAAAUCUCGCUGGGGUGUCCCCGCGCCUUCAAGUCGACCCACGAUGACAAAGCCCACGGGAGCCGUUAGCACACUAACCGGGAGCGUGGUCCUGUCUGAUUUUCACAGUGACAUGUGCGAUGUGGCCGCCGCUCUCGAACCCCGGAGCCGGCCGCCGUGCCCGAAUCAACCGGAGAAUCCAAGCCAGAGUGGAAACACACACCUUCGCCCCACCCUGUCUGCAGAGCCAGAACUUCUCUUGCAAACCGAGCAGAAAAGCUCACAUGGAUACCUAAAGAGCCUAAAAGUUGUACGACAA
rnacentral:lncRNA from 1 species